GCCCCAGCUGCCGCCUCGGGGUGGGGAAGGGGGCGGGGGGAGGGAGUAGCUGAACCGAGCGCGGGAGGGAAACGAGAGGAGACUGACUUCGCCCUUUCAGACAGGUUCCCAAAGCGCCCGCGCUGUGCCCGCUGGAGCCCGGGGUCUCUCCAGUUCACCUGGGAGGAAUCUGAGGGGCAGAGGCCAGCUUACCGACACGACACGCGCUGAGGGGACUCAAACCCGGUCUGGUCCGGGCUCGGAGCCGAGCUCCUUCUCUCCUGUCACUUCCGCCUCACGUUUCCCCCCUACCGGAAAUCUGAUGGGCUUAUGACAUCAUGGCUGGCUGCUGAGCGAUGAAGUAGAUGCCACAAAGAAAUCCGACAUAUCAGAUGGAUUCUGAAAUCAGUUUCCCUCUGGCUGUAGUAACAGGCGUGAAGUCAGGAGAAUGUGAGCUUUGUUUAAAAAAAAACAAAAAAUAAAACUAAGCCUUGUCCUGUAUUAAAGACAGUUUUUUUUUUUUAAGCUAACAGAUCUUUUGGAUAUCAUCCUAUUUUAAUAGAAAUGCUGGUUUUUGUGAACUGAAAGCGUCUAAUAAAUCAGACCUGAUGCUGCA